AGAUGCUCUCACAAUAAUAAAAAACAAAUUUCAUCAAGAGAGAUGAACCAGUGAUUAGUGCCUGCAUCGAAGAUAUCAAAAAACUGAAGGAAGCUUUCCAUACCUAUUGUUUCUCAUACACUACUAGAGAAAGAAAUGGGUUGGCUCACAUCCUAGCAACGGAGGGUUUGAAGAGGAAAGAGCAAAUCUAUCUGGUGAAGCAUGGGGCAAAGAUAUGGCUUAAAGGGUACCUUGGGGAAAACGAUGAUCAAUUCUUC
rnacentral:lncRNA from 1 species